CCUACGGGUGGCUGCAGUCGAGGAUCUUCGGCAAUGGGGGCAACCCUGACCGAGCGACGCCGCGUGUGCGACGAAGGCCUUCGGGUUGUAAAGCACUGUCGAGGGGGAGAAAAGCCCGCAAGGGUGUGAUCUAUCCCUGGAGGAAGCACGGGCUAAGUUCGUGCCAGCAGCCGCGGUAAGACGAACCGUGCGAACGUUGUUCGGAAUCACUGGGCUUAAAGGGCGCGUAGGCGGGCGUCCAGGCCCGCGGUGAAAGCCCCCGGCUCAACCGGGGCAGGGCCGCGGGGACCGGACGUCUGGAGUGCGGUAGGGGCGUGCGGAACUGUGGGUGGAGCGGUGAAAUGCGUUGAUAUCCACAGGAACUCCGGUGGCGAAGGCGGCACGCUGGACCGUGACUGACGCUGAGGCGCGAAAGCCAGGGGAGCGAACGGGAUUAGAUA
rnacentral:rRNA from 1 species